rnacentral:misc_RNA from 1 species
UCCGGUUUGUCACCGGCAGUCUCCUUAGAGUGCCCAACGUAACUUGCUGGCAACUAAGGACAAGGGUUGCGCUCGUUGCGGGACUUAACCCAACAUCUCACGACACGAGCUGACGACAGCCAUGCAGCACCUGUUCACCGGCCCCGAAGGGGAGGUGUGUUUCCACACCGGUCCAAUGCAUGUCAAGUCUGGGUAAGGUUCUUCGCGUUGCAUCGAAUUAAACCACAUGCUCCACCGCUUGUGCGGGCCCCCGUCAAUUCCUUUGAGUUUCAACCUUGCGGUCGUACUCCCCAGGCGGGGCACUUAAUGCGUUAGCUGCGGCACAGGAGGGGUCGAUGCCUCCUACACCUAGUGCCCACCGUUUACGGCUAGGACUAC